CAGUAAAUGAUAGUUUUUUAUUUCUUUAUCCGUAAUUUUACAGUAGAACUUCUCUUUGUAUUCUUCAUUGUUGUCGAUCACAUUGUCAUGACAACAUACCUCCUCGACUCCCCCCACAGCCCUCCACACCAUCCACCACCAACUACUCUACAAUUUCCCUGUGAACCUACCCAGUACUUUACCGAAAACUUGUAAUAAUGUCGCUCUUUCGUACAAAGGAAUGGUGGAGAACAGAAUGUGGAAAUAACGAGACAUUCGACGGCCAGAGUCUGCUGGUGGUGCCUCUCUUCGGCGAAGAAAAACGUGAUAUAAUUAUUGUGGCCAGUCACAGCGGUAAUCUCAGGAUUUACAGUCCCUCAGCGCAAUGGAACGACGAGACAAACUCAUCAAGUGGUUAUAAACUAACCGAUCUCAUAAUUGAAACUAAAAUUGCCGACUGUAUAAUCGACGUGAAGUCCGGAAAAUUUGUGUCGGGUUCUCAGGAUGUUCGUCUUGGUGUACUGAUGCCGACGAAACUCGUCGUUUAUGGUGUUACACUCACCGCAGGAUCCACGGAACAUGGUGAUCGGUGCGUUCUAGAAGCCGCUUACGAGCACGAGCUGCCCCGUUUUCCUGCGUCACUGGUAGCUGGACCAUUCGGUGCUGCACGUGGUCGUGAUUUCUUCUGCGUACAGUGUAUCGAUGGUACAUUGUUGUUUUAUGAACAGGAGACUCACACGUUUGUGCAGACGUUGAACAAUCGUCUGCUACCAGAGCCCGUCGUUUAUGCACUAAAAAAUGAUGUUUUUAUCACGACCAGUCCAGGAUGGCGUCUGGAAUGCUACAGGUAUCAGAACAUGGCGGAAUUCGGGAGGACCGCGGAGGAGAGGCAGAUGAAGGGAGAAGAGAGGACACUGGAGCCAGAUUGGACCUAUAAUCUAGGUGAGGCUGUCCUGGGAAUUGAACCAGUGACACUCACCAGCUUCGAGAUCGGCAUCGUCGUCCUCGGGGAGAGGAACCUCUACUGCUUCCGUGACAACUGCAACGGUGUCAAAUACGCCAAAAGACUCGACUACACACCCCUAUGUUUCCACGCUUAUGUAAUCGAACCGGACGGCAAGCUGAUGGUUCUCGUCGUCGCCGACACGGACACCCUGCUGGUUUACGAGGGCACGACACUCAAGUGGUCCGCGCAAUUGCCUUUCACACCUGUCGCGAUUGCGAGAGCCCAUUUUCAGCAUUUGGAGGGUGUCGUCGUCAUUCUCUCGGACGAGGGGAGACUGGAGGCUUGCUACCUCGGCGCCGAGCCGUCUCUCUUCGUCGCUCCGCCUAUCCAUCGACGGGGAUUCGAUUACAAAGCAGCUGAGGAUGAGCUCGUUGAGUUGAGGAAAAUAGCGAAGAGCAUUCACAGCACCAGCAAGGAGAUAGCGUCCGCGACUUUGGAAUCUGAACUCCUGGUGACGGUGGAUAUCUCCAAGGAUCUCGAGAAAGCCCCGAUGACUGGACACAUCGAGGGAGAGCUGGACUCCAUGUGUCGAAUAACCAUUGAAGUUUCAUCCUACACUCAACUGAAAAAUGUCGAAAUUAAUAUUGAAGUCCUGAGGCCUUUGGUGGUUGGGGAUGACUACCACGUGUUCCCGACUCUGCGUGAACGUCAGGUAAUUCAGACAACAAUCUACGUAAAGGAAGCGCUGCCACUGCUGUCAUCAGAGGGACGAAUAACCGCAUCGUACGAAACUGACAACGGUGGCCUUCGUGUCCUCCAAAAGCCCAUCCAAUUGCCAUUGAGAAUGAUGCUGCGUGCCUGUCCACCCGAGAAUAACGCGUCCUUCUCGGUCACGAUUAAGUGCCUGGAUCCCCUCGUAAAUUUCAGCCAGCUCUUUCCCGAAUUCAUCGGGGAUACUACACAACGUCAAUUGUCAAAUGCACUUGGUCUGCGGAUUUUGAGUACUAAUCAGGUUGUUACGAUUGUUGCUGGCACCAAUACUAAUCGUUAUCGAUUACAAUCCAAUGAUCCACUGGGUGUUACCCUGGUUCUGCAGCAGAUGAUUGCAAGACUUAAAUCUAGAGCAUCUGGGAAUGUUGUAACUUCGAUUGGGCAGAAUCAUCUGCAGCUUGUUCAGGCACAAAUCGAAGGACAUUUUGCCAGUCGUCAAAGGGUUAAAAUUCUGUCGAAUGAGGUAGCUCUGUUGACAACUCAACUUCGUAACAUCGAGCGGAAGAUUCUACGAGGAAUUAGGGACAGGAAUGUUCGAUCCUUGGGAGUGACAGGCUUGCCAGUGCUUCUCGAAUCGACCUAUCAGGCGAUGUUCUCUAAUCUGCAGGAGUUGGAGGCAGCACAAGCAGAACGCCAGAGAGCUGGUCAUGGUUUACAGUGUGCUGUGAGGUUACUGCUCCUCCUGAUACGGCCCAACGUUAACGACGAAAAAUACUCGAUGCUCGAGUCGGCCAUUGGGUUCGAGCCACAGCUGCGUAACGAUGUGGAUUGGGAGGAGGUAGCAGACGUAGCUCUCUUCGCACUUCUCCGUGCGACUUCCAAGAAGCCGGAAAAUGAACCAUCGACCAGACAACUGACCUGGAACAAAUUCGACACAGCACGAGACCUCGCGAAGCUCAAGAAACGCCUGGUUCAUGCGGUGGAACGGUUGAGCAAGCCCUUGGAGUCGGUUCAGGAGAAUGAACCUGGCGAUAACGUCCCGUGAUAACCAAAAACUACCAAAAUGAGUCUGUGAAGAUGCCAAGAGCACUUCGCAGUAUGAGAACCCACUUUGAACCAACGAUGGACGACCCGGUGACUCGGUACCGUAGUGGGAGGUACAGAAGUUACGCUAAUAAAUAAUCGUUAUACACUGGUCAAGACCCACGAGUGUGCCAUCGAUGAUCUGUUAUUGCCCGGUAUAUCGAAUGGCAGUUGACGUGGAGGGAAGAAAUAUACAUAAGUGGGGAAAAACGACAGAGCGUACAAAAUUGACGGUUGAAAGCGCCAAGUCGGCGCCAAGAUCACGUGCGAGGAGCUAUUGAGGAAAUGAACGGUGUUCCGAGGUUUUUGAGGGCAUGACGUCAAUUCACCGGAAUCAAACUUCCCCGGGCCGCCACUGGCGGCGCUAGUGAGUUGUUCUAGCGUCUUUCCAAGCGCGGGAGCUUCAAACGGAACGAACUCAGGCGGUCACCUAUGUAAUAAUUAUUCAAAAUGAAAUUCUAUGUUAUGAACAAAUUCAUAACAAUUCAUGAAAGACGACGCGUCAGUUACUAAGACAUUGUAUUUUUUUUUCAAUGCAGCAAUGGAGUAGCGACGUGGUAAAAUGAGAUAAGUCACUUCUAACUAUCGACCGGUUUUUCACGAAUAUCUCGAAAUGUAGGAGAGAUAGCACAAUUUUAAUUGGAAUCUUUUUUGUGUAGGAAAUCGAGAGCUACAAUAAAUGUCAUGACAAAAAUCCCGCUAUCCCUUUUAGAUUCGACGAUAUCAAUAAAAAAGGAGACUCCGAGGAUACAAGUAAACUUAUCUCGUUUUACCACUUCGCUACUGAAUACUUUCCCAGAAUAAAAAUAUCAGCCGACCAGUGAUGGAAGUCCGUCCUCAAUUUAAUCAAGCGGCAAGCAGAAAGCAAAAAUAUAUUACGAAUGUAGUGGAUUACGUGGAAUAAAUGGGAUCGUAAUAUGUCGUCUUCCGGGAAGAUCGUUGAAUCCCAUCUGGGUGAAGGGGGUGAAGAUCAACUCGGCACUUCCUGUUCUCUAUGUACAUGAAUAACCGCGCAUUGAUCCUAACAAACGAGUGUACGAAAGAAACUUAAUAGCGCUGAGUCGAGUCGAGGAAAAGAGCUACAUCACCUGGUUUCAUCUCUUUUUAACAUCGAGGAUUGAUAUUCCCAUUCCUCGUAUCUCAGGUCCACCUGCGAGUCGCAAGAUGAGAAGUGCAACCGACUUCCACGAGUAUCUCGGUUGUUCUUUCGUUUAUUUUCGUUCAUCUUUUCACUUCUUAUUCCGUUCUCCUUCAUUCAGGUUCUCUUCCUUGGGACUGGAUUCCCGACCCAGCGGGUUGUCUACUCUUAUUUUAUCGUAUCUUUUGUUCGUGAGUGAUUCUUGGGAUAAAAAAAUUGAGGCAUAAAUUCGUUUAAUCAUGGACAAUGCUGUCAUCUUUGUAUUUUCAGCUUUUUUUAUGAGAAAAUUCUGUUGCUAUAAUUUUUCCGCUUGUUUAUUUGCGACUAAAUAUUUGGAUUGCAAUUUUUGGAUAAAUCAGACGAUCUUUGAAACUAAUGUUGACUAAUGCUCUUGUGUUGCACAUCCGCUAGUUUUUUCAAUGGAGAUACUCUCGGUUUUUGUGAGAACUGUCAAUCCAAGAAUUACUCGUUAUCAAUAGUCCUAGGAAAUAUUUUUUUCACUCGCAGCUGAACUAAUAGAUAAAACUAUUGCAUGCAGUUGUUUUGGUCUAUAGAUCCCAGCUCUAAUCACCAGAAAUCUCUAAGCGUUGUGAACAAAACAUCCCAAGUAAACAACAGAAAUAGUUCCUCGAACCUUUGGCCCUCUGGAAUUAAGAUAUCCCUCCCCCUCUCACCGACCCCUACUCGAAGAUAUACUUCAAUGACCUCACCCACUCUCGCUUGUUCAAAUUGGUCUCUUAUUCAACGUAUAAAUUGUUGAAAUCCACCCCUUGAAAUAUGGGCAGAUGAAGUCUUGAAUCAACCCUCAUCCCCCGAAGUGUUUCCCACAGCACAACUUUUGUUCGCAACUUCAAUACAAAAAGAAAUUAUCGGCGAUGAAAUUGCUUUAUCGUUAAAAGUUUUUUUUUGUUUAAAUAGUCACCCUUGAGCCUCCCCUUCCCCUGAAAAAAUUAGAAGAGACAAAAACCUAUCAAAAGAAUUUUUAAGAAUUAAAGAAUGAAGAGAACAAAGUUUUGCUUCUGGAAAAAUCAGAAAAAUCAUGGAAAAGCCACUUGUAAAUUCCUGCAACGUCCUGAUUACUCCCUACCGACCCUAAUUAAAUUCUAAACUGAUAAUUACCAGGCAAGACCAUUAUCCAAGCAGAUAAAACCCAUCAUGCCUGCCCACCGGAAGCUGUUCCAAGCGACAGUGUCACAACGCCUCACGUCACUACUGAUAAGCUCCUGCGAUCUCAG